AGAGUUUGAUCAUGGCUCAGAACGAACGUUAGCGGCGNNCCUAACACAUGCAAGUCGCACGAGAAAGGGCUUCGGCCCCGGUAAAGUGGCGCACGGGUGAGUAACACGUAGGCAAUCUGCCCUAAAGUGGUGGAUAACCCUCCGAAAGGAGGGCUAAUACAGCAUGAGACCACGGCAUCCACGGAUGCUGCGGCCAAAGUAGGCCUCUCCACGGAAGCUUACGCUAUAGGAUGAGCCUGCGGCCCAUCAGCUUGUUGGCGAGGUAAUGGCUCACCAAGGCUAAGACGGGUAGCUGGUCUGAGAGGAUGAACAGCCACACUGGAACUGAGACACGGUCCAGACUCCUACGGGAGGCAGCAGUGGGGAAUCUUGCACAAUGGGCGAAAGCCUGAUGCAGCGACGCCGCGUGAGCGAUGAAGGCCUUCGGGUUGUAAAGCUCUGUGGGGAGGGACGAAUAAGGGUUGGCUAAUAUCCAAUCUGAUGACGGUACCUCCUUAGCAAGCACCGGCUAACUCUGUGCCAGCAGCCGCGGUAAGACAGAGGGUGCAAACGUUGUUCGGAAUUACUGGGCGUAAAGCGCGUGUAGGCGGCUAUGUAAGUCGGACGUGAAAGCCCACGGCUCAACUGUGGAAGUGCGCUCGAAACUGUGUAGCUUGAGUCUUGGAGAGGAAGGCGGAAUACUUGGUGUAGAGGUGAAAUUCGUAGAUAUCAGGUAGAACACCAGUGGCGAAGGCGGCCUUCUGGACAAUGACUGACGCUGAGACGCGAAAGCGUGGGGAGCAAACAGGAUUAGAUACCCUAGUAGUCC
rnacentral:rRNA from 1 species